ensembl:lncRNA
GGGGCUGGGGGGGGGGUCCGCUGCCUGGUGAGUGGGGGAGGGGGGGGGAGGGCGCGGAUUUUGAGGUGAAAUUGAGAGGAAAUGGGGCCCCGAGGUGGGUUCGGGGUGAAAGUGAAAGCAAAUGGAGGUGGUGAGGGGAUUUCGGGGGGUGUGACUGAGGGGGAGAGGGGUCCUGUGGGGUCUUUGGGGGGGGGGAAAUGAGGGAAGAUGGGGAUCGUGUGGGGUUUGGGGGUUGAAAUGGGGCCCUGUGGGAGUUUUUUUGGGGGGGGGACUGAGGGAAAAUGGGUCUUGUGUUUUUUGGGUUAAACUAAGGGGAAUUGGGGUCCUGAGGUGGUUUUGGAAUAAAACUGAGGGGAACUGGGGUUGUGAGGUGGUUUGGGGAUAAAAACUGAGGGAAAUUGGGGUCGUGAGGUGGUUUGGGGUUAAAACUGAGGGGAAUUGGAAUUGUGAGGUCGUUUUGGGAUAAAACUGAGGAGAAUUGGGAUUCUGAGGUGGUUAUGAGAUAAAACUGAGGGGAAAUGGCGUCCUGAGGUGGUUUUGGGGAUAAAACUGAGGGGAAUUGGAAUUCUGAGGUGGUUUUGGGAUAAAAAUGAGGGGAAUUGGGGUCCUGAGGUGGUUUUGGGGAUAAAAACUGAGGGGAAUGGGAAUUCUGAGGUGGUUUUGGGAUAAAAAUGAGGGGAAUUGGGGUCCUGAGGUGGUUUUGGGGAUAAAAACUGAGGGGAAUGGGAAUUCUGAGGUGGUUUUGGGAUAAAACUGAGGGGAAUUGGAAUUCUGAGGUGGUUUUGGGAUAAAACUGAGGGGAAUUGGAAUUCUGAGGUGGUUUUGGGAUACAACUGGGGGGAAUUGGGGAUUCUGAGGUGGUUUUGGGUUAAAACUGAGGGGAAUUGGAAUUCUGAGGUGGUUUUGGGAUAAAACUGAGGGGAAUUGGAAUUCUGAGGUGGUUUUGGGAUAAAACUGAGGGGAAUUGGGAUACUGAGGUGGUUUGGGGAUAAAAACUGAGGGGAAUUGGGGUCAUGAGGUGGUUUUGGGAUAAAACUGGGGGGAAUUGGGAUUCUGAGGUGGUAUUGGGAUAAAAAUGAGGGGAAUUGGGGUCACGAGGUGUUUGGAGGCAUUUUUUUGGUGAAAUUGGGGGAAAAUUAAAGCUUGGGAUCAUUUUGGGGGAAAAGGAAGCGGGAAAAGGGAGUUUUGGGGUCACGUGGGCACAUUUUUGGGGAGUCCCCAAUUUUUGGGGUCAGUUUUGGGGUGUAAUUGGGGUAAAAAGGGGUUCCCCAGCCCAUUUUUGGGGUAGAAGUCAGGGAAAAUGGGGGUUUGGGUGUUUUUGGGGGUAGAAUGGAGGGGAAAUGGGGUUUCCUGGGUCACUUUUAAGGUUAGAACUGAGGAAAAAGGGGUUCCCCAGUGCAGUUUGGGGUAUUGAUGAGAAAAAAUGAGGUAAAGUUAAAGGAAAAAGGGUUUUUUGUGUAGUUUAGGUAUAAUGUGAGGGGGUAAAAGGGUUUCUUUCACGAUUUUGGGGUCAAAACUGUGGGUAAAAGGGAUCCAAUGUUCGUUUUUGGGUUAAAAAAGGGGGGGGGGGGGGAAGGAUUCCCUGCUCUGUUUUGGGGUAGAACUGUGGGAAAAGGGGUUCGUGGUCCAUCCUGGGGACUAUAAAUGAGGAAAAAAGGAUUGUUUUUUUAGGUAGAAAGCAGAAAAAAAAGGGUUUCCCGGCCCGUUUGGGGGUUAAACGUGAGGGAAAAAAAAGUGGCGUUUGCAUUCCCUUUUGGGUGUAAACCUGAGGAAAAAGGGUUCUUUGGUCCGUUUUUGGGGUUGAAACUGAGGGGAAAAUGGGUCCUUUGUCCAUUGGGGGGGAUUUGAAGGGGGGGGGAAAGUGUUCUCAGUCAAUUUUGGGGCUAAAAUGGGGGGGAAAGGGGUUCCUGGAGCCAUCUUAGGGGCAGAGAUGGGGGAAAAGGGAUCCGUCGUCCGUUUUUGGGGUUAAAAUAAGGGAGAAAGAGGCAUCCCUUGGCCAUCGUAGGGAAAAUUGGUGGAAAAAUGGGAUUUCUGUUCAAAUUUUAGGUGUAAAUGUGAGGAAAAAGGGUUUCUUGGUCCAUUUUGGGGCUGAAAGUGAGGGAAAAGGGGAUCCCCACUCGAUUUUGUGUAUGAAUCUGAGAAAAUAAGCAUAUUCUGUUCUGUUUGGGGUAUAAAUGUGAGCAAAAAGGGUUCUCCCCACUCCAUUUUGGGGCUGAAACUGAAGGAAAACUGCAUCUGUGGUUCAUUUUGGGUGUAAAAUGGGGGAAAGGGGGAUUUCCACUCCAUUUUUGGGGUAAAACAGAGGGAAAACUGCAUCUGUAGUUCAUUUUGGGUGUAAAGUGGGGGAAAAGGGGGUUCUCCAGUCCCUUUUUGGGGUAAAUCUGAGGGAAAACUGCAUCUGUGAUUCAUUUUGGGUGUGAAGUGGAGGAAAAAGGGGUUUUCCACCCCAUUUUGGGGGGUAAAUCUGAGGGAAAACUGCAUCUGUGGUUCAUUUUGGGUGUGAAGUGGGGGAAAAGGGGGUUUUCUGCUCCAUUUUUGGGGUAAAUCUGAGGGAAAACUGCAUCUGUGGUUCAUUUUGGGUGUAAAGUGGGGGAGAAAAAGGGGUUCU